rnacentral:rRNA from 1 species
UGAGUAACCUGCCCUUAACUCUGGGAUAAGCCUGGGAAACUGGGUCUAAUACCGGAUAUGACUCCUCAUCGCAUGGGUGGGGGGUGGAAAGCUUUAUUGUGGUUUUGGAUGGACUCGCGGCCUAUCAGCUUGUUGGUGAGGUAAUGGCUCACCAAGGCGACGACGGGUAGCCGGCCUGAGAGGGUGACCGGCCACACUGGGACUGAGACACGGCCCAGACUCCGUACGGGGAGCAG